rnacentral:rRNA from 1 species
GACGUAGGGCGCGAGCGUUGUCCGGAUUUAUUGGGCGUAAAGAGCUCGUAGGCGGUCUGUCGCGUCUGCUGUGAAAACUCGGGGCUUAACCCCGGGCCUGCAGUGGGUACGGGCAGACUAGAGUGCGGUAGGGGAGACUGGAAUUCCUGGUGUAGCGGUGAAAUGCGCAGAUAUCAGGAGGAACACCGGUGGCGAAGGCGGGUCUCUGGGCCGUAACUGACACUGAGGCUCGAAAGCGUGGGGAUCAAACAGG